rnacentral:rRNA from 1 species
GACGAACGCUGGCGGCGUGCUUAACACAUGCAAGUCGAGCGGUAAGGCCUUUCGGGUACACGAGCGGCGAACGGGUGAGUAACACGUGGGUGACCUGCCCUCCACUUCGGGAUAAGCCUGGGAAACCGGGUCUAAUACCGGAUAGGACCAUAUGAUGCAUGUCGUGUGGUGGAAAAGUUGUGUCGGUGGGGAAUGGGCCCGCGGUCUAUCAGCUGGUUGGUGGGGUGA